rnacentral:tRNA from 1 species
GCUUUGAUAGUAUAACUAAUUACUUUGGUCUUGUAAACCAAAAAUGAAGCAGUAAGCCUCUCAGAGCA